AUUUCAGAAGGAAAACCUGAUAAAAGAAACACCGAAGAACGGCGAAAACUCAUAGAACCCGGAGAUUUUGUGAAAGCUCUUGAUCCAAAGAUUGAAGAGCGCAACACCGCGGGUAACGUUGUCCUAAAUACACGAACCGGAGAGAUGACAAACUGCCCCUUCCGGGCGUCCAGUCGCGGCCAAGACUGGUACCUGGCUUGGGAACCAGGCGAUGUCUGGCGGCAUAUGCGCUGCGCCGAUGGUACCUUGUUCAGCAAGAUCAAAUGCACGUGCGAACAUAGGUCGGUUGCUCUACGGGAGCCAAUAAAGCCAGAGGAUGAGAACUUAGUAAUCAUUGCAGAGGACUCCAUUAACACCCAAGAC